rfam:Triticum urartu cultivar G1812 contig228823, whole genome shotgun sequence.
UAGAUACUCCCUCCGUUCCAAAUUACUUGUCUUGGAUUUGUAUAGAUACGGAGAUAUCUAGCACUAAAAUGAGUCUAGAUAUAUCUGUAUCUGGACAAAUUCAAGAUAGGUAAUUCGAAACAAAGGGAGUAGUAG